rnacentral:rRNA from 1 species
AGUCGCCGCGGUAACACGUAGGGUGCAAGCGUUAAUCGGAAUUACUGGGCGUAAAGCGUGCGCAGGCGGUUAUAUAAGACAGAUGUGAAAUCCCCGGGCUCAACCUGGGAACUGCAUUUGUGACUGUAUAGCUAGAGUACGGCAGAGGGGGAUGGAAUUCCGCGUGUAGCAGUGAAAUGCGUAGAUAUGCGGAGGAACACCGAUGGCGAAGGCAAUCCCCUGGGCCUGUACUGACGCUCAUGCACGAAAGCGUGGGGAGCAAACAGGAUUAGAUACCCCAGUAGUCCCUGUCUCUUAUACC